rnacentral:rRNA from 1 species
UACGGGAGGCAGCAGGGGGGAAUAUUGCACAAUGGGCGCAGGCCUGAUGCAGCCAUGCCGCGUGUAUGAAGAAGGCCUUCGGGUUGUAAAGUACUUUCAGUCGUGAGGAAGGUGUUAAGGUUAAUAACCUUAGCAAUUGACGUUAGCGACAGAAGAAGCACCGGCUAACUCCGUGCCAGCAGCCGCGGUAAUACGGAGGGUGCGAGCGUUAAUCGGAAUUACUGGGCGUAAAGGGCACGCAGGCGGUUAAUUAAGUUGGAUGUGAAAUCCCCGGGCUUAACCUGGGAAUGGCAUUCAAGACUGGUUAGCUAGAGUCUUGUAGAGGGGGUAGAAUUCCAUGUGUAGCGGUGAAAUGCGUAGAGAUGUGGAGGAAUACCGGUGGCGAAGGCGGCCCCUGGACAAAGACUGACGCUCAUGUGCGAAAGCGUGGGGAGCAAACAGGGAUUAGAUACC